GAUGAACGCUGGCGGCGUGCUUAACACAUGCAAGUCGAACGGAAAGGCUCCUGCUUGCAGGGGUACUCGAGUGGCGAACGGGUGAGUAACACGUGGGUGAUCUGCCCUGCACUUCGGGAUAAGCCUGGGAAACUGGGUCUAAUACCGGAUAGGACGAUGGUUUGGAUGCCAUUGUGGAAAGUUUUUUCGGUGUGGGAUGAGCUCGCGGCCUAUCAGCUUGUUGGUGGGGUAAUGGCCUACCAAGGCGUCGACGGGUAGCCGGCCUGAGAGGGUGUACGGCCACCUUGGGACUGAGAUACGGCCCAGACUCCUACGGGAGGCAGCAGUGGGGAAUAUUGCACAAUGGGCGCAAGCCUGAUGCAGCGACGCCGCGUGGGGGAUGACGGCCUUCGGGUUGUAAACUCCUUUCGCUAGGGACGAAGCGCAAGUGACGGUACCUGGAGAAGAAGCACCGGCUAACUACGUG
rnacentral:rRNA from 1 species